rnacentral:rRNA from 1 species
UACAGAGGUCCCAAGCGUUGUUCGGAUUCAUUGGGCGUAAAGGGUGCGUAGGCGGCGCGGUAAGUCGGGUGUGAAAUCUCGGAGCUUAACUCCGAACUGCAUUCGAUACUGCCGUGCUUGAGGACUGGAGAGGAGACUGGAAUUCAUGGUGUAGCAGUGAAAUGCGUAGAGAUCAUGAGGAAGACCAGUGGCGAAGGCGGGUCUCUGGACAGUUCCUGACGCUGAGGCACGAAGGCCAGGGGAGCAAAACGGG